rnacentral:rRNA from 1 species
GAUGAACGCUGGCGGCGUGCUUAACACAUGCAAGUCGAACGGAAAGGCCCUGCUUUUGUGGGGUGCUCGAGUGGCGAACGGGUGAGUAACACGUGAGUAUCCUGCCCUUGACUGUGGGAUAACUUCAGGAAACUGGGGCUAAUACCGGAUAGGAGCUCCUGCUGCAUGGGGGGGGUUGGAAAGAGUCGGCGGUUGGGGAUGGAUUGGCGGCUUAUCAGCUUGUUUGUGAGGUAGGGGCUUACCAAGUCUUUGAGGGGUAGCCGGCCUGGGAGGGUGACCGGCGACAUUGGGACUGCGGUACGGCCCAGACUCGUACGGGAGGCAGCAGUGGGGAGUAUUGCACAGUGGGCGGAAGCCUGAUGCAGCGACGCCGCGUGCGGGAUGACGUGCUUCGAGUUAUAAACCGCUUUCGCCUGUGACGAAGCGUGAGUGACGGUAAUGGGUAAGGAAGCCCCGGCUAACUACGUG